rnacentral:rRNA from 1 species
GCGACAUUCUGAUUUUCGAUCACUAUCGAUUCCGACUUCACGCAGUCGAGUUGCAGACUGCGAUCCGGACUACGAUCGGUUUUGUGAGAUUAGCUCCACCUCGCGGNUUGGCAACCCUCUGUACCGACCAUUGUAGCACGUGUGUAGCCCAGGCCGUAAGGGCCAUGAUGACUUGACGUCAUCCCCACCUUCCUCCGGUUUGUCACCGGCAGUCUCCUUAGAGUGCCCACCAUUACGUGCUGGUAACUAAGGACAAGGGUUGCGCUCGUUACGGGACUUAACCCAACAUCUCACGACACGAGCUGACGACAUCCAUGCAGCACCUGUNUCAAUGUUCCCGAAGGCACCNAUCCAUCUCUGGAAAGUNCAUGUAUGUC